GACUGUGUAGGAGGACGGGGAGGGGCAGGGUAGUAGUGACUCACUGGAGUUGACAUCACCACAAAUCAGCCUUCAUGCUGGGUACGUUACAUGCAUCAUCUCUGAUACUUAAGAUGGGAGAAGGUUGAGAGGGGGUAAGGGACAGGGCCCAAGCCUGGACCACCCAGGGCCACCCGGAGCCCAGGGGGCAGCCUUGAGUGUGGCUGCUCCACCCUCUGUCCCUGGGCACUGCCUGUUCCCUGGCCUGCCACUCCUGCCUACUACACCCAAGAGUGCCCCGCUCGGCCCAGUUUUGGACGCACUAUGGUCCCACCCUCCUGAACAACCGGCUGUGUGACCUUGGGCAAGAGUUUAAUGCUCCUUGGGGACCAGCACUCCGCGCCUGCUGGGAGGAUCAAGUCGUAGGCCAAAGUGCUCCUGGGGCUAGAGACCUCACUGCCUGGACUCUCCUGGGCUGAGAGGGGAAGAAUUUCCCAAGUUGACCUGAACCUAGUGUCUGCUGGCCUUUCACCCAGCCCUGUCACCUCUGGAGGGGAUCACAACACCCGUGCUCACAUUUAUCCACCCCAGGCCACUGGAUCAGGGCCACCAGACACCCCGUAUUUGUCUGCCUGUCCUGGUCUCGGGCUUCCUGUCCUCUGUGGCUCUCCUGGGUACACUGUGUCCUCUCUGAGCUGCGGCUGCUUCCUUAUUCCCAGUCCCCUGAGAAGUUCCCAGUGUCCCUCGGCCCCCUUUCGCCUCCGACACCACCUUGACGAAGACCCUUCCAUCUCCAAUGGCCCCCCCAUGCCUCUGCCAUAUGGGACCACUCAUUGAGCACCUACUGUAUGCCUACAUUAAUGAAUGCAUUGGCACCUAAGUUCCAAAGCUCCGCCUCUGCACUGACUAGCACCCACUGUGUGUAACAAGCAUCUCGCUUCCACCUUGGGGUGCAACACCUGGAAGCAGGUCAGGAUGAUGUUUUGGGAAGUUGAGGACUGGGUGUGGCCUGAGCAGAGGGUCCAGGGAGGGCUCCUUUGAGGUUCGUAGAGAGCCGAGCAGGCCCAUCGAGGGUGCAGCAUGUUCCAGGUAGAAGGAACAGUGUAUACAAAGGCACAGAGGCGUGAAGCAGCCCGUGUUCCCCGGCGGGCACUGGGAGUUGUUUGGUCUGGCUGGACAGGGAGUCCAGGUUGGGGAGCUUGGGGAGAGGAGGCCAGAGGCAGGCAGGCCCAGAUGGUGCAGGACUCGGUGUUCCAGCAAAGGGCUGACCUUUAUCCUGCAGCAGCCGGAAGCCCAGGCAGCCUCAUGGCUCCCUGCAGCCGGGAGCUCCAAGGCUGGGCGUGGGCCAGGCCCAAAGUGUUCUCCAAGUCUCCAUUAACGCGCAUUUACUGCCCUUUGGCUCAGAAAGGUCUGUGGGAGAGUUCGUCACUCAAAUGCACGCUGUCUCCAAAGCUCAUUCAUUCAUUCGUGCGUGGUUAGCAGCGCUGAUAUUUGCCAGGUGCUGUUCUGAGAGCUGAGUCCAGGCCAGCGAGCCCUGCGGAGGUCCCAGAGCUUGCUUGCUCACUGGUGGAGCAGAGGACAGGCCAUAAACAACCAAAGAAAUGAAACAAAUUAGCGAGAUAAUUUCAGACCAUGCUCAGUGCAAAGGAGGAAAUAAAACAGUGAUGUAAUUGAGAGUAGCAGAAAAGGCUGCUCAGGGAAGAUCAAGCCCAACCUGAGACCAAGAGGACACCAGCAGGUGCCCCCGUGGCCAUCUGGAGGCUAAGAUUUCUGCACAGGAGCCGCCUGUGCAAAGGCCCUCCUGGAGCACGAAACAGCUUGGAGGUUUGUAAGUUAAGAGAAAGGUAGGGCAAAUCCAUCACUCUCUGGCAACACUCUGCUAGGGUUAUCAGACCCCAUUUUGUAGAGAUGGAAACUGAAGCUUGAA